rnacentral:lncRNA from 1 species
GGUCUUGAUUUCGAGUAUAAUCCGUUUGUGUCCUCGAUGCUUGGCCGUGCCGAUCCCCUCUCUCUUUCCGAUUUGUACUCUCACCUUCUAUCCUAUGAGAUGCGCCUGGAGGCUUAUAAUGAAGGGGGACAGUACACAUCGUCAGCAAAUUCAGCUUCUCGUGGAGGUUUUCGGGGACGUGGUAAUGGAGGACGAGGCAACGGAGGGCACAACCGUGGGCGCACCAGUGGUGGCCGUGGUGGCCAGAACAAGGGCGGCCAGACCAAUAAC